UCCCUUAAAUAACAAAGAAAAUUGCUAGGCUUGCUUUUGCAGGCAGGGAAUGUUUUCAAGCUGAAGGGGGUUGAAUCCGUGGAUACAGAGGGGCCCAAAAUGGCUGCAUGGAAGCCCACCCUGAUGUCCCUGAAUCAGAGGAACCCCCACCAGGCCCCACCCAGAGCCUCCAGCAGAAGGAGCUCAAGCAGGAAGGAGACGGAGCUGCGGCCUUGGAGGGGACUGGAAUGAUGUUGUUGCCGAAUCCUCAGUCGUUUCUUACCCUUUGUGACGGAGUGGAACUGAAUCAGGUAAGCAGAAGGAUUCCUGGGAGAGGAGGAAUGGGGCUGCCUGGGGGUCAUUUGUUCAAGGCUCAAUCUUUAUCAACAAAUAUGCAAUGUUCGUUUGUGGGAUUAACAGAACUCAAAAACCACUGGACGAAUUGACACCAAAUUUGGACACUAUACACCUCUCAGGCCAACAAGUGACCAU